rnacentral:rRNA from 1 species
AUUGAACGCUGGCGGCAGGCCUAACACAUGCAAGUCGAGCGAGCGGCGGACGGGUGCGUAAUGUCUGGGAAACUGCCUGAUGGCGGGGGAUAACUACUGGAAACGGUUGCUAAUACCGCAUACCAUCAGCUUUGCCCAGAUGGGAUUGGCUAGUAGGUGGGGUAAUGGCUCACCUAGGCGACGAUCCCUAGCUGGUCUGAGAGGAUGACCAGCCACACUGGGACUGAGACACGGUCCAGACUCAUACGGGAGGCAGCAGUGGGGAAUAUUGGACAAUGGGAGCAAGCCUGAUGCAGCCAUGCCGCGUGUGUGAAGAAGGCCUUCGGGUUGUAAAGCACUGUCAGUGGGGAGGCGUUACCCGCAGAAGAAGCACCGGCUAACUCCGUGCCAGCAGCCGCGGUAAUUC